CCGCGGUAAUACGAAGGGGGCUAGCGUUGUUCGGAAUUACUGGGCGUAAAGCGCACGUAGGCGGAUUUGUAAGUCAGGGGUGAAAUCCCGGGGCUCAACUUCGGAACUGCCUUUAAUACUGCCAGUCUAGAGUCCGGAAGAGGUAAGUGGAACUCCUAGUGUAGAGGUGGAAUUCGUAGAUAUUAGGAAGAACACCAGUGGCGAAGGCGGCUUACUGGUCCGGUACUGACGCUGAGGUGCGAAAGCGUGGGGAGCAAACAGG
rnacentral:rRNA from 1 species